rnacentral:rRNA from 1 species
UGCAGUCGAGCGGACAGAAGGGAGCUUGCUCCCGGAUGUUAGCGGCGGACGGGUGAGUAACACGUGGGUAACCUGCCUGUAAGACUGGGAUAACUCCGGGAAACCGGAGCUAAUACCGGAUAGUUCCUUGAACCGCAUGGUUCAAGGAUGAAAGACGGUUUCGGCUGUCACUUACAGAUGGACCCGCGGCGCAUUAGCUAGUUGGUGAGGUAACGGCUCACCAAGGCGACGAUGCGUAGCCGACCUGAGAGGGUGAUCGGCCACACUGGGACUGAGACACGGCCCAGACUCCUACGGGAGGCAGCAGUAGGGAAUCUUCCGCAAUGGACGAAAGUCUGACGGAGCAACGCCGCGUGAGUGAUGAAGGUUUUCGGAUCGUAAAGCUCUGUUGUUAGGGAAGAACAAGUGCAAGAGUAACUGCUUGCACCUUGACGGUACCUAACCAGAAAGCCACGGCUAACUACGUGCCAGCAGCCGCGGUAAUACGUAGGUGGCAAGCGUUGUCCGGAAUUAUUGGGCGUAAAGGGCUCGCAGGCGGUUUCUUAAGUCUGAUGUGAAAGC